UCCAGGCUCCCCCGAGGAUGCUGGUUCUCCCGAGUCAAGUCUGGAACGGAGUUCGGGCUGCUUCGGAGAGUCGCGAUGAGGUUUCUGCUUCGGGGAUGUCUUUUGCUCCUGGGGGGAGCUGCCAUUCUGCAGGGGGGCUGCUCCGGCUCCACCUCGCACUCCCUGCACUACUUCCACUUGGCCAUCUUGGAGCCUGGCCAGGAGCGGCCCCACUUCAUUGCCGUGGGGUACAUGGACAACCAGCUCUUUGCCAGCUACAGCAGUGACACGAAGAGGUACCAGCCCCGCGCGCCCUGGAUCGAGCGAGCCCUCAGCACCGAGUACUGGGACGGACAAAGCAAGAUCGGGCGUGGCAAUGAGCAGCUCUACAGGGUGGACCUGGUGACUCUGGGGAACCGCUACAACCAGAGCGAGGGUGAGCGGAGGGUGCGAUUCCCCCACCCCACAUCAGUCCUCCUUCUUAGAGGGCUUCAUACCCUGCAGUACAUGGCUGGCUGUGAGCUGAGCCCAGACGGGCGCAAAGGUGGUUAUUCCCAGUUCGGCUACGACGGGAGGGACUUCCUCAGCUUGGACAAGGAGACCCUCACCUGGACGGCGGCCGACGCGGAGGCUCAGAUGACCAAGAGGAAGCUGGAUGCGGAUGUGACCUUGACCCAAGGCCGUAAAUACUACCUGGAAGAGGUCUGCAUUGAGUGGCUGCAGAAGUUCUUGGCCCUUGGGCAGGAGACGCUUCUGAGGACGGUCAACGCUUGGCUCAUUAUAGGAGCUGUUUUGGGGGCCGUGGCUCCUGUCCUGCUGAUGGCUGCAGGGAUCAUCUUCUUCAUCAUCAGGAAAGAGCGAGCAAAUGCAGCCUAUAGAGCAGCCUCACGUGAGUGACUCCUCCCUUUUCAAAAAAAAUUUUCAUCACAGUUGAGAAGCUGUUUAUAAAUUUCACACGGCAUGUCGUCACCUUUUGGUGAAUGAGAAGAGAGAAGAGGGGGACUCGCUGAAGGCUUGAAGGGAUUAUCUCUGCUUCUUGACAACUCUGGCCAGCCCUGAAUGGCACUUUUUGUAGACAUCACCUUGCAGUCUCUGGUGCAUCUGUUAGGGCCCUGUCUCCAGGGUUUGGGAAAUGGCAGCUCUGAUUGGCUUGUGAACUGAUGGUGUUUUUUCUGCAGAUUUUCCAUGCAAGCAUCCAGGCGUAAAUGUCUUCAGUUUCCCCUGUAAGCAGGCAAUAUUGGUUGGGUUCAUAUGUAACACCAAGCAAAACCUUGGCUAAGCAUGAAUGUGCAAACGUGCGAUGAGGAAUCGCAGCCACUUUGCUCCUCCUCUGGUCCUGAUGCUGCUAUGCUACCCAGAGCAAAACCAUGGUUUGGCUUAUCAUGUAGGCUUAUGGUUUGUCUCUCUCCAGUUAAGUGCUAUGAAGUCUGUAGUUCUCACAUGCAGCUCUGAUGCUCCAUUUCAGAAUCUUUUAUCAUCGAGACCUGAGCGUGGCCCAAAACUGGCACUUGAUGGAAUCCAAGACUGCUGCUGAGUACCGUUCAAGCAAUUUAUUGUAAUAAAAGGGAGUUAGCAUAUUAGUUAAAAAGAUGCUAAACAGAAUCAAUCGACACAAGCUUUCCUAAACAGCAGACUAGCAACAGGCUAGCUUAAUAUAGUUAAAUGCUAAUCGUUCAAGCUGCAUAGAAAUUCAUAGUAAAAGCUAGGAUGCAGUAAAAUUGAUCAGGGAAAAUGUUGACUGGAGCUAGGAGAAGGGGAGAGAAUUUGUCUGAAGGGAUGGAGGUGACCUCAGAAGGAAAAUGGAUGCUGACUGGAGCCACUUGCUUUAGGAAGAGGAGGGGGUUCUCAGAGGAAGGAGGGGAUUUGAGGAGUGAUUUUUGCAGGGCCUUGGGGAAAGGGUUUAGGCUAAGUGUCAGGAGAAAGCAAUUCCGUUUCUGCGGGUUUGGCCACCUGAUGGGCUUGCCAGGGAGGAAGAGGGCAUUUUUACCAUUCCCUAUUUCUGCACGGUUGUGGCAUGUUGGAGGUGAAAGUAGCCUUUAGCAACAGAAAGUAAGGUGGGGGGAGAGAGAAAGCAAAGACUUAAAGUCCCAUUUGCCUGUCUUCCCAAAAGUCAGGAUGUCUUAUAACCGGAUUAAAAGGUUAGAUAGACUUGGUGACAGGUCCUGUCCCUUCCUCGGCUGACAAAAGGAAGGUAAACAUGAGCAGUCACUGCAGCCGUACCUGUCCGUUACUUUGAAGUUAGGGACUUGGAUCUCCAACUGGUCUCGGAACAAACCACACGCUGUGUAACCGAGGCUUGUCCUUAGCUUAUGGCAGUGGUUCUCAACUUUUUUGGUUCGUGGCGCACUGUAAAACGUACAAACAUUUUCUGGCGCACUUCAUGUACAAAAUUAAAAAUAUAUUAAUAUAUUUUCAACUAUGAAUAAAAAUAUCUUAAUAAUAAUAUACUUUCAUAAUAUUCGCGGCACACCUAGCCACCUCUCACGGCGCACCAGUGUGCCCCGGCGCACCAUUUGAGAAUCACUGGCGUAUGGGUUGCAAAUCACGGUCUUAGUGCCGGGUAACACAGCAGCAACAGGACAGGGAAGGAGCAAACCUGGUGUGUUCUUUUCUGCAAUGAGUUUGCACGUGCUUGUGCAUCCUUGCUGAGUGCAACUGAGCCACAGAAAGGGAUGGGGGGUCUCCUCUGAAUUCUUGGGGAAGCAGCACUGCUGAAGAUGCAUCCCAGCCUGUCCUUUUAAGAUUUCUGAAGAAGGACCUCCCAGGACGCAACAAGCCUGCUUCUCUCCCCCCCCCCUCCCCACGUAUUGCAUUGGCUGCCUGUUUGUUUCCGAGCUCAAUUUAUAGUGCUGGUCAUGACCACUAAAAGCUCUAUGAUUACUUGGAGGAUCACCUCUCCUCCACCCCUGCCCCGAUAUGAACCUGCCCAGGCCUUAAGAUGGGCCUCGAGGUCCCUGCUCAUGGUCCUGCCAAAGACAUCUGUUGGAUUGAGGCAGGCCCAAGAGGUGGAGGCUUUUUGACUGUGGCCCCGUUCUUGUAGAACUUCCUCUGCGGAGUUGAAGAAAGGGCCAUGGCUCAGUGGGUAGAGCACCUGUUUUGCAUGCAAAAAAGAUUCAAAUUCCGUCCACAAAAACUCCAGGUAGGGCUGGGAAUGUCCCUUGCCUGAACCCCUGGAGAGCUGCUGCCAGUCAGUGUAGACAAUACUGAGGUAGAUGGACCAAUCUCUGAUUUGGUAUAGGGCAGCUUCCUACAUUUUUCCUAUGGAUAAUUCUUACUUUACUAGCUUUUAAACAGACCCUGAAAAGAUUUGUUUGCAUCUCAAGUCACUUUUUAACAAAUUAUCUCUGAAUUGCCCUGUACUGCUGCUGUUGUGAUGUUGAAAUGUGUGUUUUGUUUUAGCUUGUGGUUUUAUUGAUAGCUGGUAUAUUAUUUAUUUUAUUGUAUUUAAAAAUAUUUAUAAACUACUUAAUCAAAGAGCUCUCUACGCAAUGUACAUAAUAAAACUGUAGAUAAAACACAGCCAAAAUCCACAAAACUAGUUAAUAAAAAAUAAAUAUACAUAAAAUUAUUAUUAAAAUAAAGAUAAACCAGUAAAACUUGUAAGUACCUAAUUUACAAAUUAUGGUUUUAAUGUAAGCUGCCAAUGGAGGAGUUUACCCUGAAAAUCAGAACAUAAAUUUCUAAAAUAAAUAAUUGUAUAGUGAUGUAGUCCUGAAUCUGCUGCCUUAGCCUUCUACAUUUUAAUUUUUCUGGCAUGGCUGCAUCACUAUGCACUAUUCAACAGGUGUAGUUUCCCAAUCAGUGUUUGUCUCUGCUUAGAAAAGCUGCACUUCCGUAAUUUCUGCCUACCAGAUAGGAGUAAAGUAGCAGCUCUGCUGUUGCUAUGGAAACUUCUGGGCUAUAGCUGCAAGGAAGUUCUAACUGGUAUUUUCAGGGCAGGAUGUGUCAGUUGCAGCCCUUUUCUGGGAAAUCAGGUGAGAACAAAGAAAUGUUGUCUUCUGUGGACACCAGAAAGCGAUGUUGCUCCAUUAAAAACUCCUUGGCCUGGCUGCAGAAAUUUUGUGAAGUGGAAGUUUAAAAUAAUUCUGGGCACACUCUCUUGAUUUGGAUGAGGUUGCAUUGUUACUGAUUGCUAUUGAUUGUGUAUUUAUACUGAUCCCCCCCCCCGCUCCGGCUGCUACUGAUUUCCUUUUUGGAUGGUUUGUGACUUGUUCAUAUUGAACAAUUAAAAAAACACUGAAGGAAUCAUAGAAUCAUAGAAUAGUAGAGUUGGAAGGGGUCUAUAAGGCCAUCAAGUCCAACCCCCUGCUCAAUGCAGGAAUCCAAAUCAAAGCAUUCCUGACAGAUGGCUGUCCAGCUGCCUCUUGAAUGCCUCCAGUGUCGGAGAGCCCACUACCUCUUUAGGUAAUCGGUUCCAUGGUCGUAUGGAUUCUCUUCUACCUUUCCGUCCCCUUUUCUGUUUCUUGUAAAUAAA